rnacentral:rRNA from 2 species
UACGUAGGGUGCGAGCGUUGUCCGGAAUUAUUGGGCGUAAAGAGCUCGUAGGCGGCCUGUCGCGUCGGAUGUGAAAGCCCGGGGCUUAACCCCGGGUCUGCAUUCGAUACGGGCAGGCUAGAGUGUGGUAGGGGAGAUCGGAAUUCCUGGUGUAGCGGUGAAAUGCGCAGAUAUCAGGAGGAACACCGGUGGCGAAGGCGGAUCUCUGGGCCAUUACUGACGCUGAGGAGCGAAAGCGUGGGGAGCGAACAGG